rnacentral:lncRNA from 1 species
CCAAAAAAAACAAAAAAAAAAAAAACCCUCCAGGUAGAGAACUCACAUACAUCUUCAUCACAAUUUUAUUGUAGAGAAACACAGAAGUUCUGUGAAAUUAUGCGAGCACUGUUCAUUAACUAAGUAUCAGUCACAUUCAAAACAACCAAAGAUUAAAUUAAAGCUGCAAACGUUGCACAACACACUCCACAGUAUGGAACCAGAAAUUAGAUGGUGAGAUUGUAUUUUUUGUACAAUUGAGUCAUUCCAGAAAAUAUCCACACACUCCUAAUACGAAGGAAUUUUCUGCCGUCCAAUUAAAGUGGUGCAGGGCAAUUUAAUUAAUCUACUGUACUUCAAUCUAAUACUGUAAUAUUAAAAUGUAUUGUCUAUAGGGUAGCUGAAAGGGGUAGAGGGUCAACUUUCAAUUUCCUCUGUAGGAAAGGUGUGGAUGUUUCCUGGAACCCAUAAUAUGUGUCACAUUCUUGAAUGUUGAAAGUUGGCUGGCCAAUAUGCAGGUUGAAAUUCACAAAAGACUUGUAAACAAAGCCUCCGAUUGGACAAUAAUUAGAAAGAGGGAAGCACCAAUCCAGUUGCUCAGACUAUUUGAUUGGCUUCCUUCUUUCUUAUUGUCCAAUCGGAGGCUUUGUUUACAAAUCUUUUGUGAAUUUCAAAUUGCAAUUUGUUUGCGUCGGUUGCAAAUUGCUCAGAGCAAUCUGCCUAUCAAAAUUGCAAUAUACAAUAUAUUGCAAUGUUGCUCGCAAGAGAACAUCCGGUUUGACUGUAAUAGAAAAUUAAUAUCAUGAAAUUAUCUAAUAAACAUCCUGUAUGUAAUCGACACCCUUAUUAAACCAGAAUUGUAAUAGGUACCCCUCACACACCACUUAUCUAAUAAACACCCCUUGAGUUAAUUAAGCAAAAAUGCUUAUUUACAGCAUUGACCCCUUAAGCUGUUAAUUUGUAUAUUGCCCCCUAAUGUGUCCUAUUUUAUUAUGAUUUAACUCUGUCUAACACCAGACGAUUUUACUGGUCAAAUAGAGAGUGCUGGUGCUAGAUUGGUUAAUCAGACUAUCUGCAUGUGGUUAGUUAACCCAUUUUAAUGGGUUUAACCUGUCCCUUAUCUAACAAAUGCUCCUAAUCUCUAAAUGACAGAAGUACCCCUUAUCCUAGAGCAGCGGACUAGUUACCCGAAGAUGGGGUUCGAAUCCCGCUCAAGACGAUGUGGAAUUUUUUGUUGUUCUCUGCGUCAGAAUAAUAUGAAACUAGUUUUUCAUAUAUACUGUAGAAUUUAAUGUUAACCCAUUGAUUGCCAGCAUUCUCCCCUUGAUGAGUGAAAUUGUCUGUUGUUAGACAGAGUAAAAUAUACAUUAUUGCCACAUAGGGUAAAGCAGUAAAACUGAUGCUCAAUUCCAGCAGUAUUUUUCAGGUCAAUCAGAAUACUGUGUGAGAUGCUGGAACAGCUACAACUCGAGGCCGUGUUUGCAUGGUUAUCCACGCUGGGUGGAGCUCAUUCUGCGUUAGGAGAUUAUUUCAAUAAAAAUGUAAUUAUUGACAUUU